CACGUAGGGUGCGAGCGUUGUCCGGAAUUAUUGGGCGUAAAGAGCUCGUAGGCGGUGUGUCGCGUCGGCCGUGAAAACCUGCAGCUCAACUGCAGGCUUGCGGUCGAUACGGGCAGGCUAGAGUUCGGUAGGGGAGACUGGAAUUCCUGGUGUAGCGGUGAAAUGCGCAGAGAUCAUGAGGAAGACCAGUGGCGAAGGCGGGUCUCUGGACAGUUCCUGACACUGAGACACGAAGGCCAGGGGAGCAAACGGG
rnacentral:rRNA from 1 species